GAGUUUGAUCUUGGCUCAGGAUGAACGCUGGCGGCGUGCCUAAUACAUGCAAGUCGAGCGGUAAGGCUACUUCGGUAGUACACGAGCGGCAGACGGCUGAGUAACACGUAGGAACGUACCCCAAAGUGAGGCAUAAGCACCAGAAAUGGUGUCUAAUUCCGCAUGUGAUCUUCGGAUUAAAGCUUCGGCGCUUUGGGAACGGCCUGCGCAUGAUUAGCUUGUUGGUGAGGUAAUAGCUCACCAAGGCGACGAUCAUUAGCUGGUCUGAGAGGAUGACCAGCCAGACUGGGACUGAGAACGGCCCAGACUCCUACGGGAGGCAGCAGUAGGGAAUUUUCCACAAUGGGCGAAAGCCUGAUGGAGCAACGCCGCGUGCAGGAUGAAGGCCUCGGUUGUAAC
rnacentral:rRNA from 1 species